GGUUAAGCGACUAAGCGUACACGGUGGAUGCCCUGGCAGUCAGAGGCGAUGAAGGACGUGCUAAUCUGCGAUAAGCGUCGGUAAGGUGAUAUGAACCGUUAUAACCGGCGAUUUCCGAAUGGGGAAACCCAGUGUGAUUCGUCACACUAUCAUUAACUGAAUCCAUAGGUUAAUGAGGCGAACCGGGGGAACUGAAACAUCUAAGUACCCCGAGGAAAAGAAAUCAACCGAGAUUCCCCCAGUAGCGGCGAGCGAACGGGGAGGAGC
rnacentral:rRNA from 1 species